CGGGGAACGGCCGCGGCCGUGCCAGACAAGCAAGCUACGCCUUGCUGCUGCUAUUGCAACUGCUGCGUCUUGUAGGCCUCAUACACAGGAGGGGACCUGACCCGCAGACCCAGAGCUGCCACUGGCCACAUAGGGCACAUUAGCUCCUCUCUCCCCCAUCACACCGACAGUAGAUAAAACUCUGGAGAUCUGGAAUAAAACAAACUACUGCUCCUCUCAGAAGG